UACGAAGGGUGCGAGCGUUUAAUCGGAAUUACUGGGCGUAAAGCGUGCGCAGGCGGUUCGUUAAGACAGAUGUGAAAUCCCCGGGCUUAACCUGGGAACUGCAUUUGUGACUGGCGAGCUAGAGUAUGGCAGAGGGGGGGUAGAAUUCCACGUGUAGCAGUGAAAUGCGUAGAGAUGUGGAGGAAUACCGAUGGCGAAGGCAGCCCCCUGGGCCAAUACUGACGCUCAUGC
rnacentral:rRNA from 1 species